GACUUUUUAACUAUAUUAAGUUAUAUUUGAAAAUAUAAAAAAGAGAAAUAUCUCUAUUAGUCU
rnacentral:tRNA from 1 species